GCCUGCCACUGAGGAGGAGAGAGUAACAGAUUAGCUGCUUGAGGGCCUGUCUCCCAUUCCCACACUCUCACUUCUGCUCCAGCAGCUCACUGGCAUAGAGCUUAAACCAGGGCUUCUCCACUUGUAGUACAAUGGAUGUCUUUGCAGUUUUGUAUUGUGCUUUUGAUGCAGAGGAAACCUGUACCAUUUAAACUGAUCAGACAUCAUUGUAAGGAGGGGGCUCUGGGCAGGCAUAGUGGAGGAGGAGACCCUUAUAUUUGAUUUUCUAAAACAUAGAAAUCAGAAGGUGAGAGGAAAAACAAAGAGCUAGUGUGGGUGUUGUUCCAAGGUGCCAGAAUAUUCCUUCUAGAGCAGCACAGUUGAUUUCCCCACUAAUAGGUGCUAAGAGGGCAUAGGUCUUCCUUUGCUUUGUUUCUACCACACCACCUUAGACGCCAUUUUCUAUACAUGUUAGAGAUCAACAAUUUGACAUAGAAGGAGAGGACACGGGAUGUGGGAGUAAGAAAAAAAAACAGCUUGCAAUAUACUAACUGUAUUUUAACUCCUUUUAUUAUUUUUUUUUAAAGGAAGAAAGACACCAGUGUACUUACAGCAGUACUGAGUUGGAUGCUGGAGUGUGGGGCUAGAGAGGUCACAGAAGUGAUAGAAAUCUGCUGGUGGAGACAGGAGUGACUUGAAGAACUCAGACCAAAUGCAGGACGUCCACUACCAUCUCCAGCUAACCACAGGCCAGACCAUGAAGAUACUGGUCUUCUCAGUGGUUCUUUCCAUGCUGGGUUCUUGAGCAGAAAAAAAAUGUAGGUCAGACCUGAAUCCUAUGGGAUCUUGGAGUCUGGCCAUUGCCCUUGCCAAAGGCCUGGGUUACCCCAGCCAAUUUUGGGGCAAAGGACAAAAGACCAGCUUAUGAACAUUGGAAGCAGGAAAACAAACCAUCAGACCAAGCUAGAUGAUGGAUCUAAUGUCACAUCCUGCAGAGAGUCACCCAUGGCUUCUCCAGGUGGAGAUCAGUGCAUCAACUCAAAAGGACUUUAUGCUGGAUGAAUGCAGCAUCUCACUCUUCGAGAACUUAACACGUAACCAAGAGGAUAUAUUCAUGUACCUAUCUGCCCUCCAAAGGACCCCUGGAAGGCAGGGGUGAAGUUCACAUCUUUAUAUGCCUUUUCACCAUUGCCAAGCUCUACAGUGGAAGGCAACCUUUUGUGUUUCAAUAAUAAAAUGAAAAAACAAAGCCAGAUGUCCUCCUAGAUUCCAGCAUUGCCCACCUUGUGAGAAGAAAAACAAUAUUUAUCUUAUUAAUUCGUCUGAAGAUCUGGCUUCAAGAGUCCUUAGGUUACCCAGUUGCUAUGGAAAUGCCAGAUGUGACACCGACUGCCACCUCAGCACAGUGAGAAACACCCAGUCACAGACAGCCUCACACAGCUAAUCUAUGUGCAUCUUCAUGGAAAACGUCCUAGUUUAUCUGUUCAUUGUCUCAAAACAAUCGGAACAUUAAAAGGGACAAGAAAGGUGGGCAGACGAACCCAAGCCCCCUGAACUGUGACAUUUAUUAUCCUGGUAAUUAUUUUAUUCCUACCCUGCUUCUCUCCCUAUAAUUUAACUGGUAUAAGAUAAAUGUACCUAUUCCCUCUAACUGCUUCUAAAUUUACUCGACUGCUACUAGAGAGAAGGACUUAACCUCACAAUAAUUGAAUUUAAAUAACAUCCAAUUCUGUGAAGUUGAACAUGAUCUGCAUAGUAAACAAACCACAGGGUUUGAGGGCUGGCAGGAAGAAAGAAGGUCACACUUAAUGUGCGUGAUUGUAUCCGUACUUCUAAUGGCCCAGAUGUGUAAUCUAAUGUCUGUUUGUCUUUCUGUCUAACUCAUCAUUAACAUCGUUAUGGUUACCAAAGAGCCAAAAUUAAAGGCUCAACUGGCCUCGUUCCUCUGCCUGGCUCAAGAGAAAAACAUAAUUCAGCUAAGCCUUGAGGAACUAGAAUUGGGCUAUUUGCAUACAGUGGGCUGGGCCCAUGUCCAAGGUUCCAGGCUACUACACUUCUCAGGAAGUUUCAGGGAUGCCAGGUCACCAUGUUCUCUUUUUUUGUUCCAGAAACCAAGCCAAAUUAUAUGAGAGGUUAGAGAGAAAGGUGCAGACUUGUCCCCUUGAGUCAGUCCUCCAUGGUCCUCGCACACCAGCAGAGGAGAGUGCAGCCUCAACCCCGCAAACCCUUCAUGGUGCUCCCUGGAGAAACUGUGGUGAAAUUUUCCUAAAAUUAAUUUUCAUUCACUGUGAUUAAUGCAUCAUUCAGAGGGCUUAGGGGAUACGGCGGAGGCUGCAGGUGCAAACAAACUGGAGUCAUGUGUUGCUUUCUGACGCUUCAGAUCAGGGCACUAGGUACUUUAGGAUCGCACAAAGCACAGAAGCAAGACCUUUCCCCGAUGCAAUCCCAGCUUGCCCACUGUCUGGCUGGUGACUAUGAGUUUAAGUGAUCGCUACCUGAAUCCACCGUUUCUGAGAGACGAGGCUGCAUCAGAAUCACUUGGGAAGCGUGUUUGGUGUCUUUGUGCUGGCUGCAACCCAAAGACUCCAACUCCAUGAAGACCCACUUAAAGCAAAAUUGGCUCAGACCUACUUUGUAACGUGUUGGACCAGAUACUCAUUAACAAACCUUCUGCCUCCUACAUUACUUUGAGACUUUUAUGUACACAAAGAUAAAAAUAAGCACUGAGAAUUAAAAUUUAUUGAGGACUCAUUGUGUGCCAAUCCCUGUCACAAACUUUGAAUUCUGGGUUCAAGAACCAAUUCUCCCACUUGGCUGGGUGAGAGAUACUGGGCAAGUUGCUCUAAGCUCCCACCUCAUCGUCUAUAUCCAUAUUGUCCUACUAGUGUUUCUGCUGUGGUUGCACCCCCUCCUCUGUGCUGUGUGUAUG
rnacentral:sRNA from 1 species